rnacentral:ncRNA from 1 species
CUUAACACAUGCAAGUCAAACGGAACGUGGUAUUUCUAAUUGCAGAUAGGUGAGUAACACGUAAGAACUUGCUAUUAGGAGGGAACAAAUGCUAAUACCUCAUAGGUUGAGGAGCAAAAGGAGGAAUUUAUUCAAUGAGGGGUAUUAUCUAGUUGAUGAGGUAAUAGCUUAACAAUGCGAUGAUUAAUAGCUGGUCCAAGAGGAUGAUCAAUCACACUGGGAUUGAGACAUGAUCUAGACUUCUACGGGAGGCAAGAGUAGGGAAUUUUCCACAAUGGGUGAAAGCCACCUUAUAGG